AGGAUGAACGCUGGCGGCGUGCUUAACACAUGCAAGUCGAACGAUGAAGGCUGGAGCUUGCUCUGGCUGGAUUAGUGGCGAACGGGUGAGUAACACGUGAGUAACCUGCCCCUGACUCUGGGAUAAGCGCUGGAAACGGCGUCUAAUACCGGAUACGAGCUUCCGCCGCAUGGUGAGGAGCUGGAAAGAAUUUCGGUCUGGGAUGGACUCGCGGCCUAUCAGCUUGUUGGUGAGGUAAUGGCUCACCAAGGCGACGACGGGUAGCCGGCCUGAGAGGGUGACCGGCCACACUGGGACUGAGACACGGCCCAGACUCCUACGGGAGGCAGCAGUGGGAAUAUUGCACAAUGGGCGCAAGCCUGAUGCAGCAUGCCGCGUGAAUGAUGAAGUACUUAGGAUUAGUAAAAUUCUUACGACCGGGACGAAUAAGUAGAACGGUACCGGAAGAAGAACGCCCGACUAACUCGU
rnacentral:rRNA from 1 species